UACGUAGGGGGCAAGCGUUGUCCGGAUUUAUUGGGCGUAAAGAGCGUGUAGGCGGCUUGGUAGGUCCGCUGUGAAAACUCGAGGCUCAACCUCGAGAUGUCGGCGGAAACCACAUGGCUAGAGUCCGGAAGAGGAGAGUGGAAUUCCCGGUGUAGCGGUGAAAUGCGCAGAUAUCGGGAAGAACACCUAUGGCGAAGGCAGCUCUCUGGGACGGUACUGACGCUGAGACGCGAAAGCGUGGGGAGCGAACAGG
rnacentral:rRNA from 1 species